UGGUUCUCGCAUCGAUGAAGAACGCAGCGAAUUGCGAUACGUAAUAUGACUUGCAGACGUGAAUCAUUGAAUUUUUGAACGCACAUUGCGCCUUAAGGUAUUCCUCAAGGCAUGCGUGAAUGAGCGAUAUUUACUCUCAAACCCUAGGGUUUGGUCCUGGCCCCUACAGCCUAAACAUCAACUGAGUUUAAAAUAAGUUUUAAUCUCAUCCCCCUUAUUUCCUCAUUUUCGUAAGACUACCCGCUGA
rnacentral:misc_RNA from 1 species